UUAGUUUUGUUAGUGUUUUUGUAUUAAAGCAUCCACUUUUCCUUGUGUAUUGUGCUUGUGCAUCGUUAGCUUAGCUUACUUCACGGUAGCAUUAAUGCAAAGAUGUAAUUUUUAGUGAUCUAGUGGCUCUUCUUCUUCUUCUUCUUCUUCUUGUGUAGUAUGAGACUGAUAGGAAACUUUUUUUUCCCUCCCCUACAAUUGUAUAAUUGAUGCCAAAUGAAUUGGUGUUUAAUUCUUAGUUUUUUCGGAACAAAAUGUGACAUUUGUUUGUGACAUUAGUUUGUGUUGCAUAGCACUACCAAGACUGAUUUGUAUUACUUAUUGCAUAGACGCUGAACUGCUUUGAGGAAUAAUUCAGCAUGGAGGAAUGGACAAGCAGGCCAAUGUUUUUGGGAAGUGUUGGAGACUGAAAGAGUCUAAGGGAGAAGGUUUUAAUUGGGAUAGAGGAAAUGUGUAGAUAAAUCAGUGGGCUAGAAACCAUAGCAGUUCAAUGCCCAAUAAUUUGACUGCAAUGCUCUGGGAGUAGUCCCUGCAUCAUAGUUAAUAAAAUAUGUAAGAAAUGAAAGAAAGAAAGAAUUGUAAUUUGGUUAAUAAUUUUAACUGGAGAAACUCUUGUAACAAGACGUUGAAUAUGUCUUGAGUUUACAGGUUGUAGAAAAUCAAAUUUAAAUCUACUUAGGAUACUGGUUCGAGUCUAAAUUGGCUCACUCUAUUUUAUAUAUUGGCCUAACCUUUGAGUUUAAGUCGACUUACCCUGUUAUAUAUAUCUCCUAUUACUUCAAAGGAAGAGAGCAAUUGAGUGUUUUAGAGAUUGGAUAUAUUGGGGACUUGACUUUAUAAGGUAAUUUCGUACUAUAUAAUCUUCCAUUUUUUUAUAGUAAAAUUUUUGUAUUGUCUUUGUCCAUGAAUAUAGGUCAAUAGACUGAACCAU
rnacentral:lncRNA from 1 species